rnacentral:ncRNA from 1 species
UGGAAACCUACUAAGUGAGAACUUUCAAAUUCAGAGAAACCCUGGAAUUAAUAAAAAUGGGUAAUCCUGAGCCAAAUCCUCUUUUUCGAAAACAAAGGUUAAAGGAAAAUCAAAAAAGGGGGGGAUAGGUGCAGAGACUCAAUGGAAGCUGUUCUAACAAAUGGGGUUGGUCGCGUUGGUAAAGGAAUCCUUUCAUGAAAAUUUCAGAAAGGAUGAAAGAUAAAUGUAUAUACAUACGCAUAUGUACUGAAAUACUAUAUCAAAAUAAAAUGUUUAUUUUUUCUAUGAAAAAAAGAGAAAAAUAGAAGAAUUGUUGUGAAUCUAUUCUACAUUCCACAUUGACUAAAGAAUUUCAUAUUCAUUGAUCAAAACAUUUACUCCUACUCCAUAGUCUGAUAGAUCUUGUGAAUAACUGAUUAAUCGGGCGAGAAUAAAGAUAGAGUCCCGUUCUACAUGUCAAUACCGACAACAAUAAUGAAAUUUAUAGUAAGAGGAAAAUCCGUCGACUUUAGAAAUCGUGAGGGUUCAAGUCCCUCUAUCCCCAAAAAUUUAUUU